CCCCUACUAAUUGACAUGCCUGUCGCCUCCUUCUCCUGGUGUCCAUUUCUGGAACUGCUAUUUGUAUAUUGCAUGAUAUAUCAAGAAAAAAAAAACAGAUCUAAUUUCAUGAAAAUGCUGUUGCCAUAAUGCUCAGGAGAACAGGGGGAAGAGAGAGAGUCAAGUCUUCCUAAUGUCUACCUUGUAUGCAGGAAAAAGGCAGACAUUAACAGAACAGGGAGCUCACAGAGUCAGCACUCCCGGGGACAAGACAGCCAGAUUUUCCUUAAAAGGUGACCCCAGGGCUGAAAACCACAGGAGAAGUAGAAUUUUUCUCAACAACAACAUCUUGAGGUCAUAAUGGUCUGAUCCACGGUGCUAAGGAUCUGAAGUGUGAAGUGAGACCUGGUAUACUAUCAAAUGUCUCCAUGCCCCUGUCUCCUCGAAGGGAAAACUCACUUCACCAGAUUAUAAGGAACACCAAAUCAUUGUGAAGCCCUCUGUCAAGUUGAGAUUUGCAUCAUUCUUUGAACUGCCCAGGCUCAGCCCCUGUGAUGUUUUAUGAACUUGGCUCUCUGUAAAUUAAGAUUUACCGAGACAUAUUGCAGGAAUGUUUUAAAAUAUUACUCAUUUUAGUAGCAUUUAUAAUUAUGGCUGCUAGAUCUUUCUUGGCAUUCAUUGUGUUAAACCUCAAUGGCUCUACCAAGUAAUGGAUUUUGGAGAUGGCCAGUAAAACUCAUCCAAUACCU